CGAGGGGAAAGGCACAACACGUGGGAUGAUAUCAUCCGUUGUUUUGAUGGGUUUGGACCUUGCCUCCAUUGACAUGGUAUAAUCCCUUCUCACAUCACCAACGAGUGGCGUGUAAGGACUACCGGAAAGGCCUUGUCUUCUCAGGUAACUUUCAAGCAUCUUUGGUUUAAACCAAACCCAGUUUAGAGUUCUCCAUACCCACCACAGCACAGCAACUAUAGCUACUGAAACUGUAACGGACGCAGCUGAUGUUUCCAUUUUUAUUUCCUAGGAAAGAGAAUGAGAGAUAUGGAUAAUCUGCUGAUAUUCUUGGGAUCUAAAUAUAUAUGGAUGUGGUGAUGACAUCACCACUUAUGUCAUAGACAAGAUAUUAUUUUGCGUCUCCGAUAAUGAUUCUGUUGUGACCGUUUAUCUUUUGCAUUAUUUGGAGCCUCAGAGUCAUAUGCCACGAGGGCGAGGCAACAAUUAAGAAGCAAAUUUAGACUUGCGUAGUUGAAAAGAGGCAUGACUUGACGUCGACCUUUUCACAUUUCUUUGUCACUCCAUCAAAAGGAAGAAACAUUAGUCCACUAAAGUCUAAAAGUGAUUGCCAUUGUCUAUGCAAUGACGUAUUUUUUUCUCUUAAAAACCUAUGGACUAUUAUUAAUUUAUAUUAUAUGAAACGUUAAGGACUUUGUCCACUAAUUGGUUUUUCUAAUGUCACAUAUCCUGCUAGAUACUGUGAGUUUGGGGCAUGUUUUUAAGGUUACAGGCAUGAGACGUGGGAUAAUAUGAUCCGUUAAGCUGAUGGGUUUGGUUCUUGCCUUCUUUAAAACUAUGAAACUCCUCAAAUCUCCAAAAAGAGACGUGUAAGGAGUUCCUGGUAGAUUAUGUUCUUUCAAGUAACACUCCAACAUCUUAGGUUUUAGCCAUUACCACUUCAGAGUUGUCCACGUCACGAGAAAAAUAGUUAUUAAAUGUAAAACAGAGAUCUCUACUAUGUAUGUAACUAUGUAAGAGGCAUAGAGAAGCAGACGCAUAUAAUUUUCAAAACGUCAUUGGUCUUUUAAAUAAUAAUAACUGGAGGUGGUAAUGUCUUAGAUGGCUUUAAUAUGUACAUCUGUCUUAAAUACAUAAAACAAGAUUUUAUUCGAGUAUUGUAUUAUGAUCUGGACUCAGUUUCAUCUGUGUAUUACAAGUUUCUUUUUUAUAGGAUUAGGACUAGAGCUUGUGCAGGAUAAGAUGAGCACCAAACUGUGGGUGAAUUGUGAUGACUGUGUAAGGAGCAUGAACGUAAGAAGGAGAUAACUCGAAGGAAAAUCUCUGCAGAAUCAAUGCCAUUGCCAUCUUUGCCUCCAAUAAGGCAAAGUUCUGUCCAAUGCAGAUCCUCGGUCCCCAUGCAAAGGGAAAGAAGGAGACUUGGCUCUUCGUUGCCUUUGAGAGACCUUCUUUGAACCUUUCAGGCUUGAACUCCGCAGCAUCGUUCCCCCACAGCUCGGUGUCAUGUUGAACUAGCAGGAUAGGUAGACUGAUCUGAACGCCGCCUGGUAAUGUCAGGUCUCCUAGCUUCAUCUCUUUGUGAAUGGCUCGUGACACCUGUGUCACUGGAGGAUAUAGCCUAAGAACCUCAUACAAGAUCAUCGUCAUCUACAAGGGAUCAUCAAAUCAUUCAGCCAAAAAAAAACAAAGAGUACUUGAGUCACACGAAAGGUUUAUACUUACAACUUUGAGCUGGUUAAGACCAUCUAUAUCAGGUACUUUAUCGCCAAAGACUUGUUUCACUUCUUCUCUUGCCUUAGCUUGCCAAUCUUGGUGUUGGCUUAGCAGAACCAUUGUCCAAACCAGAAGUACUGAAGUUGUCUCUUGCCCGGCGAAAUAGAACAGCUUGCAUUCCUCUAUCACAUCCUCAUUGCUCAUCCCAUUUCCUUUAACUUGUCCCAAAUUAGAUUCAAGAAGUAUACCAAGCAAGUCAUCGCUUGGUGCUUCACCAGCCUCUCUAGCCCUUAACCUCUUGUUAACUAUCCCUCUCAGUAUAGCUUGGACUUCUCUGGCUUUUGCCUUCAUCAUUCUAUUUUCCUUCGUUGGAAGAUACCUGAGAGAUUAUGACAACAUAGAUCAAGAGUCAAGUUCUAAAGUCCUUGUAAUAACAUAUUAAUUACCUAUAUCCAGGAAUGAUGUGCUUUCUAAAAGCUUGUAUGAUGAGCUGAGCUAGUUCAGCUUGGAGCUCAAAUAUCCUCUGCCCUUCUUUAUAGCUGCUACCAAAAGCAGUACGAGAGAUCACAUCAGCAGUCAUACUCACAAGCCCUGGCCAAACAUCCACUUCACAGGACAGCCCUUUGUCCGAGACCAACUUGUCCCAUUCGCCAACAACCUCGCUGCAGCUCUGGUGGAAAGCAGGUACCAUGUUCUAUACAUAUAAGCACAAGUGUCACAAAAUUGUGUCAGCCUAAUUGUUAGGAGAUCUCGGAGAUUACAAAAUCGCCUAGAAUAUUUUUCCAUGUAACUAUUAGAAAAUAUAACUUAUGAUACCUAACACAAAUGAUACACAAACCAAUCAAAACUCUUCAUGGAGCUAAUACUAAUACCUUGAUCUUCUCAAGGUGGAAAGCCGGGUUAAUGAUUCUUCGGUGUUUCGCCCAUUUAUCACCAUCGUAGCUAGCAAGUCCAGUGCCUAUCAACCUGGCCAAAGGGAAGGUAUGUGUCUUCGGGAAAUCAUAAACUUUGUUGAACACUUCCUUGAUUUGCUCAGGGUCCACUAUGGUGAUGGUUGGUAUAGGUCCAAGCCAUGUAAAGUAAGUUCUUCCUGUUCCAUGCCAACCACAUAAAGAUUGAAAACGUUUUCUAGACAAAGAGGAAUCAAGAAGUAUGAGAUAACCAGGAAACAUAUAUAUAUAUAUAUACCAUGAGUUUUGAGCAUUUUCAAGGGAUAAGGCACGAGACGUGGUGUGAUAUCAUCCGUCAGUUUGAUGGGUUUGGAUCUUGCAUUUUUCAGCAAGCUAAAGUUCCUCUUCAAGUCGCCGACGAGAGGAGUGUAAGGACUACCGGAAAGACCUUGUCUUCUCAGGUAACUCUCAAGCAUCUUUGGUUUAAACCAAACCCAGUUUAGAGUUCUCCAUACCCACC
rnacentral:lncRNA from 1 species